rnacentral:rRNA from 1 species
GAUGAACGCUGGCGGCGUGCCUAACACAUGCAAGUCGAACGGAGAUUACGGACGGAAGUUUUCGGAUGGAAGCCUGUAAUUCUUAGUGGCGGACGGGUGAGUAACGCGUGGGCAACCUGCCCUAUACAGGGGGAUAGCAGCUGGAAACGGCUGGUAAGACCGCAUAAGUCGGUUAAAUCGCAUGAUUUGAUCGGGAAAUGAGCAAUCAGGUAUAGGAUGGGCCCGCGUCCGAUUAGCCAGUUGGCAGGGUAAAAGCCUACCAAAGCGACGAUCGGUAGCCGGACUGAGAGGUCGGACGGCCACAUUGGGACUGAGACACGGCCCAAACUCCUACGGGAGGCAGCAGUGGGGGAUAUUGCACAAUGGAGGAAACUCUGAUGCAGCGACGCCGCGUGAGUGAAGAAGUAUUUCGGUAUGUAAAGCUCUAUCAGCAGGGAAGAUGAUGACGGUACCUGACUAAGAAGCCCCAGCUAACUACGUG